AUACUUACCUGGACGGAAUUUAUGGGUAAUCAAAAAGGUCCGUGGUCUAGGUUAGUAACCUCCAUUGUACUCAGGAGGGGUACUUGCUUAAGAUCUAUUCAAGAAGUGGAGCCUAUGUCAUAAUAAUUUGUGAUAGUGGGAGUUUGCGUUCGCGGCCCCAG